rnacentral:rRNA from 1 species
UCAGUGCGGGAGAAGGAUGCCUGCUGGGAGUACGGCGACAAGCUGGACGGGAACAGGGUUCGGUGCAGAUUCUGCCAGAAGGUUAUCAAUGGCGGAAUAAGCAGGUUCAAGUUUCAUCUGUCUCAAAUUCCGAGCAAAGGCGUCAACCCUUGCGUCAGGGUGACGGAUGAUGUCAGGGAAAAGGUGAUCGCUCUCAUAGAAGCCAAGGAAUCACACAGGGAGCUCGAGCUUCUCAAGAGAAAACGUGUUGCUGAACUGUCGGUGCUUCCGAAAAGAACACGGGAACUUCCAUCUCAGCCUUCCUCCCCAGGGUUGCCUACUUCGCCUGCUAUUAUUCCUGCAUUCGAGCCGAGUCAGCUCCUUGGCCUGGAAGUGCCUGCUCCGGUACUUAGACUAUCUGGUGCUGCCACCAAGCCCCGUCCGGCUUCAGGAUUGGAAGUGGAACGGUGCAUUGCUGAAUUCUUUUUUGAGAAUAAGUUGGACUAUAGUAUUGCAGACUCCAUUUCAUACAGGCAUAUGAUGGACACACUUCUUGGGCAGGAAUUCCAAGGGCCAUCAGCCGAUGUUUUGAGAACAAAAUGGCUUCAAAAGCUCAAGUCAGAGGUUUUGCAGAGAACGCAAGAGAUCAAAAAGGAUUGGGUAACUACAGGCUGUACUAUAUUAGCCGAUUCGUGGACUGACAACAAAUUGAAAGCCCUAAUCAACUUCUCUGUCUCUUCUCCACUAGGGACAUUCUUCCUCAAAACAGUAGAUGCUUCUCCACACAUAAAAAAUCACAGAGGGAUGUAUGAGCUCUUUGAUGAAGUGAUUCAGGAGAUUGGUCCAGAUAAUGUUGUUCAGAUUAUUAGUGAUAGGAACAUAAACUACGGUAAUAUUGAUAAACUCAUCAUGCAGAACUACAACACCAUUUUCUGGUCUCCCUGCACUUCGUUUUGUGUAAACUCAAUGUUGGAUGACUUUUCCAAGAUUGAUUGGGUUAACCAAUGCAUAUGUCAAGCACAAACAAUCACACGAUUUGUCUACAACAACAACUGGGUUCUUGAUCUUAUGAGGAGGUGUAUGGCAGGGCAGGAGCUUGUUUGCUCAGGGAUUACAAAAUCUGUUUCAGAUUUCCUGACUCUGCAGUCACUGUUGAAGCACAGAUCAAAGCUGAAGCAAAUGUUUCACAGCUCUGAGUAUGUAUCUUCUCCAUAUGCAAAUAGAUCUCUAAGUAUUUCCUGCAUUGAGAUCCUCAGUGACGAUGAGUUUUGGCGAGCAGUCGAAGAGAUAGCGGCUGUUUCAGAACCUCUACUGAGGGUCAUGAGGGAUGUCUCAGGAGGCAAGGCCGCCAUUGGUUAUAUAUACGAGUCUAUGACAAAGGUGAUGGAUUCUAUUAGAACAUACUACAUAAUGGAUGAAGGCAAAUGCAAGUCAUUUCUGGAUAUUGUGGAGCAGAAAUGGCUGGUGGAGCUGCAUUCGCCUCUUCAUUCAGCAGCUGCUUUUCUGAACCCAAGCAUCCAGUAUAAUCCAGAAGUCAAAUUUUUCACUACUAUCAAGGAGGAGUUCUACCAUGUCCUGGAUAAAGUGCUCACAGCCCCAGACCAAAGGCAGGGUAUCACUUCGGAACUGCAUGCUUUUCGCAAGGCGCAAGGAAUGUUCGCCUCUAACAUUGCUAAAGAGGCCCGCAACAACACCUCCCCAGGGAUGUGGUGGGAACAAUAUGGCGAUUCAGCGCCAGCAUUGCAACACUGUGCCGUCAGAAUAGUGAGUCAGGUCUGCAGCACCCUGACCUUCCAAAGGGACUGGACCAUCAUCCUGCAGAGCCACUCCGAGAAGCGCAACAAGUUGAACAAGGAGGCACUGGCCGACCAAGCCUAUGUGCACUACAAUCUCACGCUCCACUCCGACUCCAAAACGACGGCGAAGAAGAAAGGAGAGGGGGAUCCGAUCGCGCUGGACGAUAUCGACAUGACCUCACCAUGGGUGGAGGAUUCGGACGGUCCGAGCCUGACCCAGUGGCUCGACAGGUUCCCGUCGGCCCUGGAUGGUGGAGACUUGAACACCAGACAGUUUGGUGGAUCCAUCUUUGGCACCAACGAUCUUUUCGGCUUAUGA